rnacentral:lncRNA from 1 species
AGCCGAACUUCUACCGCAAGCAGUCUACUCUGAACUUCUACUGCAAGCGAUCUACUCCGGAUCUCUACUGUAAGCGAAUUCCAUCCGAACUUCUAUUACAGGCAGACUUCAGUCGAGCUUCUUCAAUAAGCGAUCUCUAUCCGAACUUCUACAAGAACCGAACUCCGUCUGAACUUCCAUAGUGGAUGGAUUUCGGAUGAAUUUCUACAACGAACGGGCUCCAGCAGCUGGAUUUCUACAACGACCGACCGCCUUCAGUGUCUGUCAUACCUCUCCAACCAUCAACCUUCAAUAGCAUCAGUCGGACUUCAACAAUACCAACCAGACUUCCACA